GUCUGGUGGGGGUGGGGGGUUCAGAUAGUUGUAAGGGUUGUUCGGACCCUCAGGCUGUAUUCUGUCGCCGGGGAUAAAGACAUUGUCGAAUGAGCAAAGAGACAACAGGGAGGUGCUGAGUCAGCUGUCCUCCUGGCUUAGUUCACGCUGCGCUGCUCCGAGCUCUCCAACGCACGGUUCGCACAUUUCAAACGGUGCAUGAUGGGAAUUAAAGUUCCGGAGUUUGUGGGGACAUCAGACGCCGGGGUCACUCAUGUGGACCAGAGGAGAUCUGCUAAAAUAUCUUCUGUCCCUCACCGGGAUUAGAGGGGACACAUUCCUGACCUCAGCUCCCACCAAUCACUCUGUUCACAUCUUCAACGUUCUGGGUACAACAGACCAUAAAAUGAUUUCCACACAUCACACGCGAUGUUCGUCCAGGCCUGGCAGCGGGGGAAGUUCCCCCCGGCGUGAUGAGUCCUCCCCUGGAUGGACUCCAGUGGAAUGUCCCC